CUUGACCGAAAUGGUUUAGGUCGUCUAAUAGUAAACUACCUAAGGCAUGUUAGGCUUUUGAAUAUGCUUUUCAACAAAUAAACUGAAAUGAGAGAAUAUACUACUACAUCACUAGCCCUUUUUAACUAGAAUCAUACCGAGGGAGUACUUAUUACAACUAACUACUAUAGGAUAGUGUUCAGUUACACAUCUUACAACUAAAUGAUUCUAGUGAUUAAAACUAACUAAUACAUACACGACUAAGAUUUAGCACGCAAUAAAAAUGGACUCAGAACUUCAAAUCUCCAUUAGUUACAUUCAUGCUUCAAUUUCAACCUACAAGGACCAAGGUAUUAAUUUGUGUACCUGUUAUUCGAAAAGCAAAGGUGAGGAAAAUCAGUAGAAGCAACAGUAGCACACACAACAACAACAGGUUCGGCAACACAACAAAACUAGCAGAAUCCAGUAAUGACCAGUGGAAUGACCCAGUGACAGAUUUAAACCAAACAGAAAACCAAGAAACCAAUGCAUAGUACUUGAACACCAACAGAAAUCCACAAAUACCACACUGAAAAUCCAAUAAUACCCAAAAUUCACUCACAAUUACAGUAGAAGUGAGGUAGGUGGAGAGAGAAAUAUUUCUGCUUUUGAAUAGUCAAAGAAAACAAACAGGCUGAAGUUCUUUUUAAUAAAGUUCAGCCUCCACCUAUAUUUCCUCCCUUUGGAUUUUUUUCUCUCAAAUGUUUACUUAACCGAUUGUUCUCUUCUCAUUAAUCUGUUUCAACCUCAUUUUAUAGGAAUUCAACUGAGUGGAUUUGCCACUGCCAAUUCAACAUUUCAAUUUAAAAUUAUCCAUUGAAUUAGUGACCUUUUUAAUUAAUCUAGUAAUGCAAUUUCUACCCAUACCAUCACAGAAACUUCCAAAUUAGGUGGACAACUUGAAUUAACUUAACUAAUCAGUUCAAACAGGAAUUAACCUCUGUCGGACUGAUUUACAUUAAUCUAACUACAAGAUGAAUUUAAAAUAUUUAACACAAACGGGUAUCAUACUUAAUGUAAUAAACUUGCAAUAUAAUUUGAACAACAAAUAACGAACAUGGUAGUCUAUAUCGGACGACUGGUAGAAUUUUAAUUAAAAUUGACCAAAAGAAAAAGAAGGAAGAAAGUGAUAAAUAUUAACAUAAUAAUUACGUAAACAGAAAACUUACCAAUUUGAGCCGAUUAAUUUGGAAAGACGCUUCGAAUCUUCUAAAAUUCCAGCCAAAUUUUAUAUUAAUUGUGUAUUCUUAUCAAGAAUACACGAAUAAAACCAAACUUGGCGCAUAAUUUCGAUAACCUUCCAAUUUGGGUGAUUUUGGGAAUUUAGGGUUCAUCGCCUAAUCUAAAAUUCGAGCAGUUUUUGGAGGAUUGAGGGAAAUUGUCAUGAGAUUUGUGACGUGGGUGGCUUGGUGGCCAUCUGGUGUUAUUUUGGGGCUGAUCAGAGCCGCUGCCGCCACCGGAGAAGGUAGAGAGUUAGGAGGCGGCGCUAGGCUUAGGGGGUGGUCUCUGAGGGUGAGGGUGAAUGAGGGAGACGAGGUGGGGUUUGGGGUAUAUUAAAUGGGUUUUUA
rnacentral:lncRNA from 1 species